rnacentral:rRNA from 1 species
UACAGGGGGGGCAAGCGUUGUUCGGAAUUACUGGGCGUAAAGGGCCAGUAGGCGGCCAACUAAGUCACACGUGAAAUCCCCAGGCUUAACCUGGGAACUGCGUGUGAUACUGGAUGGCUUGAAUUCGGGAGAGGGAUGCAGAAUUCCAGGUGUAGCGGUGAAAUGCGCAGAUAUCAGGAGGAACACCAAUGGCGAAGGCAGCUCGCUGGAACGGUACUGACGCUGAGGCGCGAAAGCGUGGGGAGCAAACAGG